rnacentral:rRNA from 1 species
GCUCAGAACGAACGCUGGCGGCGUGCCUAAUACAUGCAAGUCGAGCGACAGAGAAGGAGCUUGCUUCUUUGACGUUAGCGGCGGACGGGUGAGUAACACGUGGGCAACCUACCUUAUAGUUUGGGAUAACUCCGGGAAACCGGGGCUAAUACCGAAUAAUCUGUUCCACCUCAUGGUGGAACACUGAAAGACGGUUUCGGCUGUCGCUAUAGGAUGGGCCCGCGGCGCAUUAGCUAGUUGGUGAGGUAACGGCUCACCAAGGCGACGAUGCGUAGCCGACCUGAGAGGGUGAUCGGCCACACUGGGAUGAGACACGGCCCGAGACUCCUACGGGAGGCAGCAGUAGGGAUUCUUCCACAAUGGGCGAAAGCCUGGUGGAGCAACGCCGCGUGAGUGAGAGGUUUUCGGAUCGUA